CCUGCACACGAGUGUCUGUAAAUUACUGGGUGAGACGGCGGCGCCGGCCGGGACCAGCAGCUCCCGUAGGGAGCGUCCAGCCUGGAGGUCUUCCUCGGGUCCUUAUUUCCCGUUCUAUCCUUUUGACGAAGUUCUACCACCUCAACUAAACAGAAGGUCCUAGAAGUCAGGGAUCAAUCAUCCACUUAGGUGUUGCUUAUAGAGCAGAAGGAUAGCCCAGCUCUAGAGUGGAAAAGGUCGAAUCUUCUCAUUAGGAGCCUGACGGCCCGCUGGCCCUCUGUGAUAAACAUGAGUGGCGUGAGAAAAACCAAAGCAUGAACUUGAAACGUGAAAGACGUGACCCAGAGACCAGGAGGAAGGCGUGCCCCAGGCUGGGGACUCACCGCUCACCAGCACCAGGUCGACUUGAUCCGUCUGCCAGAAACCAUCUGCCAAACCAGAGCGCUGGUUUUCACCAGUUUCAGGCUUCAGUGCUGGCCGCUGCCCUGGGGCCCAAGGCUCUCCAGGAAAAGACUGGAAAGGUGACAGGGACCUUGCCGUUUCCUUCUGCUCUGUGCUUUUUCUGCAAUUUAUUUUCUUAAAUG